UAAAGAUAACUAAGGAAUGGUGCAGUAUUCUAGUCAGUUCUCCGUAUCCUGAAGGCGGGCCUAAAAAUCCGCCAAAGGGCACAUCGAUGAAGUUCCUUGUGUAGGCUUGAGGCGCCCAGCCUUGGGUCUAUGCUGGGAGUUAAGGUUUUUGGGCGAUCCACAAAGGCAUGUGGGCGUUGACCCGAUUACCGCGGAGGCCCAUCUCUGUAGUAUUUGCUAAGCCUAGUAAUUAUUAUGGAAUGGGGUAUGAACCUGCAGAUAUGGUAAGGGACACCUAAUAUGCAGCGUAGCCUGCCUUGAGUGGUGCUUGAGGGGAUUAGAGCUUUAAAUGGCAAGUUAGAUGGCCAAUAAUUUGCUUAUUUACAUUCUAUGAAAUCAACACUGCAAAAGAGGCUAGGGGACGGUAAAGAACUGUUGAGGAAAUCUCCUAGACUGUUCUAUAUGACGUGUAAAAGGGAUUAUAGUGCGGACUAAGUGGCAAUCCAGUCUAGCUAUUGGUGACAAAGCUAAGAUGAAUUUAAAGGGGAACCGCCUUUCAUGGUAACAUGGGGUAUUCAUUUGGGAAAACCUACUGGACCUAAGCCGCAGUUUUUACCUUUUAAAUGACCAUUCCUAUUACAUAAUGG
rfam:Virgibacillus massiliensis genome assembly, contig: 000001